AGAGUUUGAUCCUGGCUCAGGAUGAACGCUGACAGAAUGCUUAACACAUGCAAGUCUACUUGAUCCUUCGGGUGAUGGUGGCGGACGGGUGAGUAACGCGUAAAGAACUUGCCCUGCAGUCUGGGACAACAUUUGGAAACGAAUGCUAAUACCGGAUAUUAUGUAUUUCUCGCAUGAGUUUUACAUGAAAGCUAUAUGCGCUGCAGGAGAGCUUUGCGUCCUAUUAGCUAGUUGGUGAGGUAACGGCUCACCAAGGCCAUGAUAGGUAGCCGGCCUGAGAGGGUGAACGGCCACAAGGGGACUGAGACACGGCCCUUACUCCUACGGGAGGCAGCAGUGGGGAAUAUUGGACAAUGGACCAAAAGUCUGAUCCAGCAAUUCUGUGUGCACGAUGAAGUUUUUCGGAAUGUAAAGUGCUUUCAGUUGGGACGAAGUAAGUGACGGUACCAACAGAAGAAGCGACGGCUAAAUACGUGCCAGCAGCCGCGGUAAUACGUAUGUCGCAAGCGUUAUCCGGAUUUAUUGGGCGUAAAGCGCGUCUAGGCGGUUUGGUAAGUCUGAUGUGAAAAUGCGGGGCUCAACUCCGUAUUGCGUUGGAAACUGCUAAACUAGAGUACUGGAGAGGUGGGCGGAACUACAAGUGUAGAGGUGAAAUUCGUAGAUAUUUGUAGGAAUGCCGAUGGGGAAGCCAGCCCACUGGACAGAUACUGACGCUAAAGCGCGAAAGCGUGGGUAGCAAACAGGAUUAGAUACCCUGGUAGUCCACGCCGUAAACGAUGAUUACUAGGUGUUGGGGGUCGAACCUCAGCGCCCAAGCUAACGCGAUAAGUAAUCCGCCUGGGGAGUACGUACGCAAGUAUGAAACUCAAAGGAAUUGACGGGGACCCGCACAAGCGGUGGAGCAUGUGGUUUA
rnacentral:rRNA from 1 species